rnacentral:rRNA from 1 species
AUGGCCGCCGCAACAUCACCGACGGCCAGACGCUCGUCUCGGCCGGUGGCUCCUUCACACUGGGGGUUCUUCUCCCCGGGCGCGCCGAGCCGGAGGUACCUCGGGAUAUGGUUCUCCGCGUCCAUGCGCGAAGCCGUGGUCUGGGUGGCCAACCGCGACAACCCGCUCAACGACACCGCCGGCGUGCUGGUGAUCGACGGCGCGGGCAUCCUUCACCUUCUCGAUGGAUCCAGUCGGGCCGCGUGGUCCUCGAACACGACGGACGGCGACAGUCCUUCCGCGGCGGUGGCCCAGCUGCUUGAGUCCGGCAGCCUGGUGGUGCGCGACGAGAGCAGCGGCGCCGUCCUCUGGCAGUCGUUCGACCACCGGUCCAACACCCUGAUCGCGGGCAUGAGGUUCGGCAGGAACCCGCAGACCGGCGUCGAGUGGUCCCUCACGUCGUGGCGAUCCCCCGACGACCCGGCGACGGGCGAUUGCCGUCGUGCCAUGGACACCCGGGGGCUCCCGGACUGCGUGUCGUGGCGCGGUGGCGCCAAGAAGUACCGCACGGGGCCGUGGAACGGGCUGUGGUUCAGCGGCGUCCCGGAGAUGGCGUCCUACUCCGACAUGCUCACCAACCAGAUGGUGGUCCGGCCCGACGAGGUGGCCUACGUGUUCAACGGCACGGCGGCCGCGCCCUUCUCGCGGCUCGUGCUGAGCGAGGCCGGCGUGAUCCAGCGGCUGGUGUGGGACGCCGAUCGCCGGGUGUGGCCCGUGUGGGACGUGUUCGCGCAGGCGCCGAUGGACGUGUGCGACGACUACGCCAAGUGCGGGGCCUUCGGGCUGUGCAACGUGAACACGGCGUCCACGCUCUUCUGCAGCUGCGUGGUGGGGCUCGUCCGCGUGUCCCCCGCGCAGUGGUCCAUGAGGGAGGCGUCGGCCGGUUGCCAGAGGAAGGCGCCGCUGGAGUGCCGCGACGGGGGCGCCACCACGGACGGGUUUGCGGUGGUGUCCGGCGUGAAGCUCCCCGACACGGACAACGCGACGGUGGACGCCAGCGCGACGCUGGAGGAGUGCAGGGCGAGGUGCCUGGCCAACUGCUCGUGCGUUGCCUUCGCCGCCGCGGACAUCAGAGGAGGUGGUGGAGGCAGCGGCUGCGUCAUCUGGUUCGGUGACAUCGUCGAUGUCCGGUAUGUCGACAAAGGGCAGGAGCUCUACGUGAGGCUGGCAAAGUCUGAACUAGCAGCUAAUAAAAAGAGGGGGAGUAUGCUAAAGAUUUUACUGCCUGUUAUGGCAUGUCUGCUUGUACUGAUGUGCAUAUUCCUUGUUUGGAUAUGCAAGUUCAGAGGCAUGCGCCGUAAAAAGGAUAUCCAGGCAAAGACUAUUCUGGGUGAUGAAAAUAUAGAACUUCCAUUUGUUAGCUUCAGAGACAUUGUUACCGAAACAAACGAUUUCUCUAAGGAGAACAUGCUCGGACAAGGAGGCUUUGGGAAGGUUUACAAGGGAAUGCUAGAAGAUGAUACAGAAGUUGCUAUCAAAAGGCUCAGUAAGAGCUCAGGACAAGGAGUAGAAGAAUUCAGAAAUGAAGUUGUUCUAAUUGCCAAGUUGCAGCACAGAAACCUUGUUAGACUUCUUGGUUAUUGCAUUCAUGGAGAUGAAAGGCUUCUGAUUUACGAAUACUUACCAAACAAAAGCUUGGAUAUCUUCAUUUUUGAUGAUGCAAGUAAGUAUGUUCUUGACUGGCCAACAAGGUCUCAAAUAAUCAAAGGAGUAGCCAGAGGACUUCUUUAUCUCCACCAAGAUUCAAGGUUGACUAUAAUUCAUAGAGAUCUCAAAUCAAGCAACAUCUUGUUAGAUGUGGAUAUGAGCCCAAAGAUAUCUGAUUUUGGUAUGGCAAGAAUCUUUGGUCGCAACCAACAAGAAGCAAACACUAACCGAGUUGUUGGGACUUACGGUUACAUGUCUCCUGAAUAUGCAAUGGACGGCGCCUUCGCCUUCUCUGUCAAGUCCGAUACCUAUAGCUUUGGUGUCCUACUCUUGGAGAUCAUAAGUGGUCUGAAGAUUAGCUUUCCAAACCUAUUAGCUUAUGCAUGGAACUUAUGGAAUGAUGGAAAGCCAAUGGAUAUGGUGGACUCUUCAUUGUUGAUAAUUGUUCACCAACUGAAGUUCUACGGUGUAUUCAUAUAG